UUGCCUUAAACGGGCAGUGCCCUGGGUCCAUCUCCUGCUGCUGGGCUCUGCCAGGUGAGGGCCCCUCAGAGACGGGCGCGGGCUCUCCCCGGCCCGGCCCUGGAGCGGCCCCUCCGACAAGGGCAGCCGUGGCCUGCGCCCGGUGAGGUGCCCCUGCCCUGGCUCCUUGCAGCCCCGGGACGCCGCCCCUUCCUCUAACCCGCACUCUCCUCCAUGUGGAGCCCUGGGGCCGCUGAGAGCCUGCUGCCUGCCUUUCACACCAGCUCACCGAGUCUCCCCACCUUCAGAGAUCGCUGCAGAUCAGGCAGCCGCGGUUACGUCCCGAGAGCGCAAAGAUCUCCCGAGACCCCCUCAUCACGCGCAGCUCCGCCGGGACGGCGGCUUCUCCGUGGCGGGGGAUCUCCGCAAGAGAGUGAAGACAGGCUGCAAACCUCCCCCUGGCCACAGUGACCCGACGGAUGGGAGACUCAGGAGCUGUAGGGCUGGCGCAGUCUGACGUGACGGCUGCCCAGCUCCUCUGUGACACUUGGGACCCCCCGGCCUGCUCUGCAUAACAGUGUCCCAGCUGGGAGCUGCUCCUCCAGAUCUGCAGGGAACAUAUACAUGGCAGCAGUUCAAGCUGAAUCUAAUGCUUGUUGACUCUGGAAAUGUGAAGGAUAUAUCUGUUCUCAGAUGUGAAGAUGAGAAAUGAACAGAAGAACAUGAAGGAGAAAAUUAGUUCAUCUGACACUUCUAGCAAGUCUGCACCUCGAGUAACAGAACCAGUUAUAAGUAGAUUUUCCAGCUUCUAAUCACAAAAGAAAAAGAAAAGGAAAAGAGACUGGUCUUUAUAGUUUUUGUGUUCAAAAUAUGUAUAAAACGCUUGUAAUGCUUACUUCAGAUUGUUAAUUUGCCAAGUAUAAGAGAUUUGCAAGUCUGGUAACGGUUUUCAUUUAUUUUACAAUGAGACAGAUAAUUAUUCA